UCCCUGGUGGCUCAGAUGGUAAAGCGUCUGUCUACAAUGCAGGAGACCUGGGUUCAAUUCCUGGGUCCGGAA
rfam:TPA: Bos taurus chromosome 12, whole genome shotgun sequence.